rnacentral:lncRNA from 1 species
CCUAAUUGUCUGAGUAGGGAAAAAAGACUAAGUAUAACAUAAUGAGCUUGUGAAAAGAAAUUUAGUACUAUUACUUACCAACACCAUCACAGAUUGGAGUGAAUCAUGAUAUAGUUAUGAGAUUAUGACUUAUCUUUUGAUUUUAAUUUUUUUUAAUAAAAAAGGUAAACUUGUAAGUGAGUUGAGUUAGUUCAAUUAACUGGCAAUUUGAGGCUUUAAACCAUGACCAAACCAACCCACCAUGAUUUUGUUCAAAAGAAAACUAAACCAAACCAAAUUACCUGUGUCAAAACCGACCUAAGCAGACCCGAGUUGGUUCGGUUUGCUUGGUUUUUCUGUUUUUUGGCCAGGCCUACACAGACCAUCUGUAGGUGGUCGGAAUCCUCUAUGUUGGCUGUAAUUGCCUAGGUGAGAUUCAAAAUGGGUAAAUUGCCGUUGCCAUGAAGGUAAGCAUUAGUAUGUUGAUUUGGGGCAAGUUCAAUUUAGGGCAACUUAAUUCAUUUAUUUUAGGCUGACUUUAGACCAAUCAUUCAGUAUUUAUCAUUGGGCUAACUUAAUUGGGCCAACUUAAUUGAUUUAUUUUGGGCUAAAUAAAUUGAUUUUGGGACUGCUAAACAGUGAAGUUUAGUUGGGCUCUAAGAUUAGGUUUUGCAAUCUUGUGGUUAGCUUUAUAUUUAUAAUGGAUUCUGAAAUUUUAAUUUGGGACUGUUACUAAUAUAAUUAACUAUUAGUCCCAUGGUAACCAACAUUUCAUAUUCUUUUGGUGUGCGAUUCAUGAGGAAAAAUUAUUCUGCAUGAGAAUCUCAAUUUCGAUUAUUUGUCGUCGGAAAAAAUUUAUGGGGUCACAUUGGUAGAAGUGACCCAAUUCCUACUGAGAAUACCAAAUUAGCUCGAUGGACAGUGAAACAUGCUAAAGUUAUGAAAUGGAUUUUAGGAUCUGUGAUCCUAUGAUUGUCAUAAAUCUAAGGCCAUAUAAAACUACUAAAGCUAUGCGGGAGUAUUUGAAAAAGGUUUACAAUCAAGACCACACAGCCAGACGAUUUCAAUUGGAAUAUGAGAUUGCAAAUUACACUCAGGGCAAUCUCACCAUCCAGGAUUACUUUUCUAGGUUUUAAAAUUUUUGGGGUGAAUUUGCUAAUAAUUAUCUAUGCUAAGGUACCAGCCGAAUCCUUUGAUCCUGUUCAGACUAUUCAUGAACAGAGCAAACAAGAUUAGUUUAUGAUGAAGUUAUGAUCAGAAUUUGAGGUAACUCGCUCUAAUUUGAUGAAUCAAGGUCCGCCUCUUCCUUUGGAUUUAUGUUUUGGGAAGUUACUUUGAGAAGAGUAACGUCUUACAACACAAGGCAAUUUUCAGCGACAUCAUAUGACACCUAAUGUCGUCGCUUAUGCAGCUCACGAAAAUAGUAAAGGAAGGGAUAUGCGGAAAGUCCAAUGUUUCAACUGCAAAGACUAUGGGCAUAAUGCUACUCAUUGUACUAAGAAGUCUUGCAAUUGCUACAAGAAGUCAAGACAUAUUAUCAAAAAUUGUCCUACUCGAACUCAGAAUCGCUAAGCCAAUGCAUAUCAAGUAGUAAUCAGUCCACUAGCUCCUGAGGUGUCCUCUGCUGCUGCGCAAUCUGUUCUUACUCCUGAAAUAGUGCAACAAAUGAUUGUAUCAGCUUUCUCUACUUUGGGACUUCAAGGUAAACAUAAUACCUCAUCUUAGUCUUGGCUAGUUGAUUCUGUACCUCAGAUCAUAUGACUAGUUCCUCCGAUGGCCUUUGUAAUAUUCGCCCAUAUCAAGGCUUAUCUCAUAUUCAAAUAGCUAAUGAUAGUCAUUUAGCUAUUGAUACUGUUAAUAACAUUAAUUUUGCUUUUCAGAACAAUUUU